AGCAUAAGUCUUACCAACUUUCACGUGCCUAAAAAUGGUAUUAAUUACAACUCAGGGCCAAAAAAUCCCCAAUUCAGAAGUAUAGUCCAGUAAAGAUGGCUGUAUUAUUACAUUUUUACUAGACUUCUCUCAGCUAUAUUUGAAGGACUUUUGCUCACCACCCUUACAGAUUAAAAUAUCUAAAAUGACACUGCUAGCAGAAAGGUUCUUGUCACCUACAGCAAAUUUGAACUCUACCCUUCAAGACUAGAAUUCCAAG